UACGUAGGUGGCAAGCGUUGUCCGGAUUUACUGGGCGUAAAGAGCGCGCAGGCGGUCGUUCAAGUCGCGUGUGAAAGCCCCCGGCUCAACUGGGGAGGGUCACGCGAUACUGAUCGACUCGAAGGCAGGAGAGGGUAGUGGAAUUCCCGGUGUAGUGGUGAAAUGCGCAGAUAUCAGGAGGAACACCGGUGGCGAAGGCGGGUCUCUGGGCCGAUACUGACGCUGAGGAGCGAAAGCGUGGGGGAGCGAACAGG
rnacentral:rRNA from 1 species